rnacentral:misc_RNA from 1 species
GAACCUGACUACCAGUCAAUUCAUAAUUGGCUAUGCACAUCGUUAGCAGCUGUUUCGAGAAAAGAUGUGCUCCAAAACUACCAAAGCCACACCCUAUGUCUAAGACAACUCGAACCCCUGCCUCAUUGAAAUUGAGCUCGUUUUUCAGUCCGAUCAUCUCAGCUAUCUGAUGAGUAUAGUCUUCGACUCCAUCCACCAUAAGAGAGUCCGAGCGGAAGGAGAUCUGCUCUUCCUCCACCAUCAUCCGCUUAGUCAAGCUCCCG